UACGGAGGGUCCAAGCGUUAUCCGGAAUCAUUGGGUUUAAAGGGUCCGUAGGCGGUUUUGUAAGUCAGUGGUGAAAGCCCAUCGCUCAACGGUGGAACGGCCAUUGAUACUGCAAGACUUGAAUUAUUGGGAAGGCAACUAGAAUGAUGUAGUGUAGCGGUGAAAUGCUUAGAGAUUACAUGGAAUACCAAUUGCGAAGGCAGGUGCUACCAAUAU
rnacentral:rRNA from 1 species